CUUUUAAAAAGAGCGACGGGCGAUUUGUGCAUACCUACUUUCAUUUUUUAAACCAAAUUUUUAUUUGUUGAUUUAGGUUAUAAGUCCUUUUUCAGAAAAUUUUACUCUCAUCGUCUAAUAUUUUUAUCUUACGUAUCCCAUACCUUUCUUACUUAUUUGCUCUGUCUUGAUUUGUUUUUUUAUCUUUUGAUAAGAUAAAGUCUUUCUUUUAAAUUCUUUUUAAAACAAUGAUAUAGAAGCUUAGAAUGUAAGUUCAAUUUAUCGUGGUUUAUCUAUUAUAUAACAGGAUCCCCUAUUAAGAUUAAGUACCGCCAUCUUUUUCUAACUUUUGUUUGUUUAACUACUAUUUUUCUUUCUAUAUAAAA
rnacentral:rRNA from 1 species